rnacentral:lncRNA from 1 species
AUAACAUUACAACAACAACAACAACAACAAAGCCUUUUCCCACUAAGUGGGGUCGGCUAUAUGAAUCCUAGAACGCCAUUGCGCUCGGUUUUGUGUCAUGUCCUCCGUUAGAUCCAAGUACUCUAAGUCUUUUCUUAGAGUCUCUUCCAAAGUUUUCCUAGGUCUUCCUCUACCCCUUUGGCCCUGAACCUCUGUCCCGUAGUCACAUCUUCGAACCGGAGCGUCAGUCGGCCUUCUUUGCACAUGUCCAAAUCAUCGGAGCCGAUUUUCUCUCAUCUUUCCUACAAUUUCGGCUACUCCUACUUUACCUCGGAUAUCCUCAUUCCCAAUCUUAUCCUUUCUCGUGUGCCCACACAUCCCACGAAGCAUCCUCAUCUCCGCUACACCCAUUUUGUGUACGUGUUGAUGCUUCACCGCCCAACAUUCUGUGCCAUACAACAUCGCUGGCCUUAUUGCCGUCGUAUAAAAUUUUCCCUUGAGUUUCAGUGGCCUACGACGGUCACACAACACGCCGGAUGCACUCUUACACUUCAUCCAUCCAGCUCGUAUUCUAUGGUUGAGAUCUCCAUCUAAUUCUCCGUUCUCUUGCAAGAUAGAUCCUAGGUAGCGAAAACGGUCGCUUUUUGUGAUCUUCGCUAGAUUGCUCCGGUCAUUAGUGUGGAUAAGUAUAUAUAAAUGGAUAGAGAUAGGAAAGCAAACACAAGAUGUACGUGGUUCACCCAGAUUGGCUACGUCCACGGAAUAGAAGAGUUCUCAUUAAUUGUGAAGGGUUUACACAAGUACAUAGGUUCAAGCUUUCCUUUAGUGAGUACAAGUGAAUGAUUUAGUACAAAUGACAUUAGGAAAUAUUGUGGGAGAAUGAUCUCGUAAUCACGAAACUUCUAAGUAUCGGAGUGUGGUGUCGUCUUGACUUGCCUUAUCUGUCUCAUAGGUAGAUGUGGCAUCUUCUCUGGAAGUACUCUUCCUCCAUCCAGGGGUGGUAUCUUUAACUGGUGGAGAUGCACAAGGUAAUGUAUCAAUUUCACUUGAAGCUUACUUGUAGUCUCAGGCUUGGUCAAGCGCGAUACAAACCAUGUAGUAGGAGUCUCCCAAGUCGCCGAGCUAGGGGGUCUGCUGAAAGAGGUGACAGACAAGGUAAGCAAUCAGAGCUCCGACUGAUUGUUCACCUUCUCCCCAUCUUGCAGCAGCAUGAAGGAUAAAAAGAAGAAAAAUGAGAAGAGAUGAUAUGAGAUACUUUUGCUUUUGAAGAAGUAACUUUCCACAGGCUUAUUCUUGAACUGAGCUGGAGGGUUUUCUGGUUUCCUCCAGAGUAUAAGGCCGACUGAAGAAUUUGAGGGUCAAAACAAGUCCAUCAAAUCUAGAGUACGUUCCACCCUGCUGAUAUGGGAUACUUUUGCUUUUGACAGAGUAAUGGGUGUAUCGGCACGUGUGCUGUUACGCUUGUCUCCACAUGCUUCCUUGUAUCCUUCGCACUUGCCCUAUCUGUUCCUCAAGUAGAUGCGGAAUCUUCCCUGGAAACAUAAGAUGUUGAAGAUGAGUACUCGAGAGCAAUGCCAGGUAAGUAAUCAAGUAAGGGGUUCCAGGCAGUCAGUUCCUGGCUGGAAGCUUGAUCCAAGUGCUGACUGAUUGCUCUCUUUCUCCUUGUCUUGCAGGUAAAAACAAGGCCAAAGGAAAAGACAGGGAAAAAGCAUGAUAUGGGAUACUCUUGCUUUUAACCCUGAUGAUAUGAGAUAUUCUUGCUCUAGUAUAGCUUGUUUGCAGAGGUAUUAUCGGGGGGAAAGAAAGCUGAAUAUUUCGAAAGGCUUCGUUGGGAGUGCCCUCUCAGAUAUGAUGAAGGGUUGAGCAUUUUUGCAGGUCUGCCUGUCCGUUGGGGAUGGAGGUCGACAUAUAUAGGAGUCUCCCUAACAACAAGUAGUAAUGCUAUUCCUUUACCCUGCUUGGUCAUAGCACGGUAGUGGGAGCUGCCAGUUUCACAUGUUUUAACUCUGUCAGAGCACUUUGAAAAAGUGGUUUGUGGUAUCUGGCUCUCGAGAUUCGGAGAACGAUGCCUCUUCGAUUUUUGAGAAAGCAAUCAUGCUGGGGGUCUGGCUCUCGAGAUUCGUAGAGCAGUGUCUCUUUGAUUUUUGAGGAAGUAAUCAUGUUGGGAGUCUGGCUCUCGAGAUUCGGAGGGCGGUGCCUCUUCGAUUUUGUAGCAAGCAAUCCUGUUGGGAGUGUUGUCUCGAAUGUGAGUAAAGGUUGGGCAUGUUUGCUAGUCUACCUUGCCACGAAGCACAAAGGUUGACACACAGAGACUUUCCAAUUAUCCAGCAAUGGUACUGUUCCUUUACCCUCUCUUCGCUUUUGAGAAAGUAGUCAUGUUGGGAGUCUGGCUCUCGAGAUUCGGAGGACGGUGCCUCUUCGAUUUUGGAGCAAGCAAUCUUGUUGGGAGUGUUUUCUCGAAAGUGAGUAAAGGUUGGGCAUGUUUGCUAGUCUACAUUGCCACGAAGCACAGAGGUUGACACACACAGGGACUUUCCAAUUAUCCAGCAGUGGUACUGUUCCUUUACCCUUGUGGGUAAUAAUAUGGUAGCUAGACCUUCAAAAUUUAUGUGUCUAAACUUUGUUAGUGCUGUUUCUUUGCUAUUCUUUUACCUUUCUUGGUCAGAGCGAUGUAGUGGGAGCUGCAAGCUUCACGUGCUCAACUUUGGCAGAGAACUUUGGCAAAGUUAUCUGUGGUACCCAUGAGCUAUUGUUGCGUGUGGGAAGUGGGUGAUUGAACAGUAAGAUUCAUGUGCUUUCUACUUCACCAAAAGUCUUCGACAGAAAUUCCCAUAAUUUCUGCAAAGCUGAGUGUGCGUGUGACAGGUGCUGACAAGGCUAGAAAAGUAGGUGCCUCUUCGAUUUCUGAGAUCGGCCCUCGUGGUCUCUGAGCAGCCCAGCUUUUGAGAAAGCGAGCGCCUCUUCGAUUGAUUCGGAGAACGAUGCCUCAUCGAUUUUUGAGAAAGCAAUCAUGCUGGGGGUCUGGCUCUCGAAGAUUCGGGGAGCAGUGUCUCUUCGAUUUUUGAGAAAGUAAUCACGUUGGGAGUCUGGCUCUCGAGAUUCGGAGGGCGGUGCCUCUUCGAUUUUGGAGCAAGCAAUCUUGUUGGGAGUGUUUUCUCGAAUGUGAGUAAAGGUUGGGCAUGUUUGCUAGUCUACCUUGCCACGAAGCACAGAGGUUGACACACAGGGACUUUCCAAUUAUCCAGCAAUGGUACUGUUCCUUUACCCUCUCUUUGAUUUUUAAAGAAAGUAGUCAUGUUGGGAGUCUGGCUCUCGAGAUUCGGAGGACGGUGCCUCUUCGAUUUUGGAGCAAGCAAUCUUGUUGGGAGUGUGUUUUCUCGAAUGUGAGUAAAGGUUGGGCAUGUUUGCUAGUCUACCUUGCCACGAAGCACAGAGGUUGACACACAGGGACUUUCCAAUUAUCCAGCAGUGGUACUGUUCCUUUACCCUUGUGGGUAAUAAUAUGGUAGCUAGACCUUCAAAAUUUAUGGGUCUAAACUUUGUUAAUGCUGUUUCUUUGCUAUUCUUUUACCCUUCUUGGUCAGAGCGAUGUAGUGGGAGCUGCAAGCUUCACGUGCUCAACUUUGGCAGAGAACUUUGGCAAAGUUAUCUGUGGUACCCAUGAGCUAUUGUUGCGUGUGGGAAGUGGGUGAUUGAACAGUAAGAUUCAUGUGUUUUCUACUUCCCCAGAAGUCUUCGACAGAAUGCCCAUAAUUUCUGCAAAGCUGAGUGUGCGUGUGACGGGUGCUGACAAGGCUGGAAAAGUAGGUGCCUCUUCGAUUUCUGAGAUCGGCCCUCGUGGUCUCUGGGGAGCCCAGCUUUUGAGAAAGCGAGCGCCUCUUCGAUUUCUGAGAUCGGCCUUCGUGGUCUUUGAGCAGCCCAACUUUUGAGAAAGCAAACGCCUCUUCGAUUUCUGAGAUCAACCCUCGUGAUCUCUAAGCAGCCCAGCUUUUGAGAAAGCAAACGCCUCUUCGAUUUCUGAGCAGGCGCCUCUUCGAUUUCCGAAGCUCCGUCGAGUGCAGAUUUUUAUAGAGGCUGACAUUAAGUUCCAAAGCACACUUGAAAUCCACCAGUAGAAGCUUCAUUCUUGCACUUCUAAGAUCUUGAUUUGUCCGACCUCUUCUCUCUUCAACACCUUUGAAAAUGUCUGGCCCCUCCGACCGUCGUUUUGACUUGAACCUUGUUGAAGAGGCAGCCCCGCCUUCUCCAGACAACAUAUGGCGCCCAUCCUUCGUCUCUCCUACUGGUCCUCUUACCGUUGGGGAUUCCGUGAUGAAGAAUGAUAUGACCGCUGCGGUGGUGGCCAGGAACCUUCUCACUCCCAAAGAUAACAGACUACUUUCCAAACGGUCUGAUGAGUUAGCUGUUAAGGAUUCGCUGGCUCUCAGUGUGCAGUGUGCAGGUUCUGUGUCUAAUAUGGCCCAACGCCUAUUUGCUCGAACCCGCCAAGUUGAAUCCUUGGCGGCUGAAGUGAUGAGUCUCAAACAGGAGAUUAGAGGGCUCAAGCAUGAGAAUAAACAGUUGCACCGGCUCGCACAUGACUAUGCUACAAACAUGAAGAGGAAGCUUGACCAGAUGAAGGAAACUGAUGGUCAGGUUUUACUUGAUCAUCAGAGAUUUGUGGGUUUGUUCCAAAGGCAUUUAUUGCCUUCGUCUUCUGGGGCUGUACCGCGUAAUGAAGCUCCGAAUGAUCAACCUCUGAUGCCUCCUCCUUCUAGGGUUCUGUCCAGUACUGAGGCUCCAAAUGAUCCCCCUCCGGUGCCUUCUCUUUCUGGGGCUCUACCGACUGCUGAGACUUCUCCUAAGCAACCUUUGUGAAGGCUCCGUCUUGUGUGUUUAUUUUGACUCAUGUAUAUGUACAUAUUUGUAGCUGAUCGGGGAUAUCAAUAAAUAAGCUUUCCUUCAUUUCAACGUAUUGUGUUAAAUACACCAAAGCCUUCUUCGCUAAGUUCUUUGAAUUUUCUUUUGUUGAAGCUUGUAUGUUGAAGCUUUCUGAGUGGAGCAUGUAGGUUGGGGUAGUGUUCCCUUAAUUUCCCGAGUGAGGAAAACUUCUCGAUUGGAGACUUGGAAAAUCCAAGUCACUGAGUGGGAUCGGCUAUAUGAAUCUUAGAACGCCAUUGUGCUCGAUCCUGUGUCAUGUCCUUCCGUUAGAUCCAAGUACUCUAAGUCUUUUCUUAGAGUCUCUUCCAAAGUUUUCCUAGGUCUUCCUCUACCCCUUCGGCCCUGAACCUCUGUCCCAUAGUCGCAUCUUCUAAUCGGAGCGUCAGUAGGCCUUCUUUGCACAUGUCCAAACCACCGUAACCGAUUUUCUCUCAUCUUUCCUUCAAUUUCGGCUACUCCUACUUUACCCCGGAUAUCCUCAUUCCUAAUCUUAUCCUUUCUCGUGUGCCCACACAUCCAACGAAGCAUCCUCAUCUCCGCUACACCCAUUUUGUGUACGUGUUGAUGUUUCACCGCCCAACAUUCUGUGCCAUACAGCAUCGCCGGCCUUAUUGCCGUCCUAUAAAAUUUUCCCUUGAGCUUCAAUGGCAUACGGCGGUCACACAACACACCGGAUGCACUCUUCCACUUCAUCCAUCCAGCUUGUAUCCAGCCUUAGUAUAACAUUGGGUUAAAAAAAAUUAACAUAUGAAAAUUUGAAAACCCUGAUAAUUCAAGAUAAUGAAGUGUGAAUUACCCUUAAUAUUAAUAUAAAUCACCAACACAAAUGCUUGGUGUAGAACAGGGCCACAUCUACUACCUUUAGUUGGGAAGAGAGAGAGUUAUUCUCCCCCAAGUAAAGGAGUGGUUGAAAAUAUCUUGAACCAUGUACUUUCUCUAUAUAUGAGACAGUGUAGAAAUGUAAAAGAUGAACCCUAACCUACUUCCUUACUAUAAAUCGUUUGUAAAAAGAUGAACCCUAAAACCUGUGCUAUCGCAUCACUCAUUCAAGUCUAUUGCCUUUAGCUCCCAACCUCAAAAUUGAAACGAGAGAGAGAGGCUUUACUGCAGCGAGUCGGGUGAUGACCGACUGGUGACUGGUUAUUGACUCACAAGCCUCUCUCUCACAUUGGUGACUGGCUAAUGCAGCAGCGUAUCAAUAUUCAUGUCUCUCUCAUCCCUCAUUACCGUACCAUCUGGCUGACAGCUGUGAGCAUAUUCUGGUUGGGGCCAUGAACUGCUCCCUACAACCCUAGGUGUACAUUAUAAAAGAGGUGAUAUCCGUUUUUGCUCAACAACAACAACAACAACAAAGCCUUUUCCCACUAAGUGGGGUCGGCUAUAUGAAUCCUAGAACGCCAUUGCGCUCGGUUUUGUGUCAUGUCAUCCGUUAGAUCCAAGUACUCUAAGUCUUUUCUUAGAGUCUCUUCCAAAGUUUUCUUAGGUCUUCCUCUACCCCUUCGGCCCUGAACCUCUGUCCCGUAGUCAUAUCUUCGAACCGGAGCGUCAGUCGGCCUUCUUUGCACAUGUCCAAAUCACCGGAGCCGAUUUUCUCUCAUCUUUCCUACAAUUUCGGCUACUCCUACUUUACCUCGGAUAUCCUCAUUCCCAAUCUUAUCCUUUCUCGUGUGCCCACACAUCCCACGAAGCAUCCUCAUCUCCGCUACACCCAUUUUGUGUACGUGUUGAUGCUUCACCGCCCAACAUUCUGUGCCAUACAACAUCGCUGGCCUUAUUGCCGUCCUACAAAAUUUUCCCUUGAGCUUCAGUGGCCUACGACGGUCACACAACACGCCGGAUGCGCUCUUACACUUCAUCCAUCCAGCUCGUAUUCUAUGGUUGAGAUUUCCAUCUAAUUCUCCGUUCUCUUGCAAGAUAGAUCCUAGGUAGCGAAAACGGUCGCUUUUUUGUGAUCUUCGCUAGAUUGCUCCGGUCAUUAGUGUGGAUAAGUAUAUAAAUGGA